GAAGUGAUAGCUGGCUUGACUUUGCUUUUCUUCAUUUAUUUGGCUUGACUUUGUUUUUUAGCCUGAAUUUCCCUACCAAGUUUUAUCAUGGAUACUUCAUUUCCUACAUCUGGUCCUUGAUGUUCGUUAUGUAUGGUUACGAGUGAGUAAAGUUUGACACGUGUUAUCACUGAGAGAGGGUAAGUUGGCAUGGGAAGAAGAAGAACAUGAAGAAUAUGAAGAAGAAGAAGAAUAUGAAG
rnacentral:lncRNA from 1 species